rnacentral:lncRNA from 1 species
CAUGGAAUAUAGACAGGCUGAACUUCGAGUUACGGAAACAAAUUGGGAGAUUCACUGGCGAUUUAAGUGAGUUAUAAUUGUUGAGAACUCAGAACUCGGAAGCUUAUUGCCACAGCUAGUUACUGUCCAGAAACCAGAAUUCGAAUGAAUUUUUCUUUUGGGAACCAGAAUGCCCGCAGCUGAACCUUCUUGCCCUAAAAUCCAAAACGGAGUCGUAUCCUCGUCAUAUUUACGGAAAGUUCUGGGCUUCAGGCUUUCAGCCGGG